GAUGAACGCUGGCGGCGUGCCUAAUACAUGCAAGUCGAGCGAACAGACGAGGAGCUUGCUCCUCUGACGUUAGCGGCGGACGGGUGAGUAACACGUGGAUAACCUACCUAUAAGACUGGGAUAACUUCGGGAAACCGGAGCUAAUACCGGAUAAUAUAUUGAACCGCAUGGUUCGAUAGUGAAAUACGGUUUUGCUGUCACUUAUAGAUGGAUCCGCGCCGCAUUAGCUAGUUGGUAAGGUAACGGCUUACCAAGGCAACGAUGCGUAGCCGACCUGAGAGGGUGAUCGGCCACACUGGAACUGAGACACGGUCCAGACUACUACGGGAGGCAGCAGUAGGGAAUCUUCCGCAAUGGGCGAAAGCAUGACGGAGCAACGCCGAGUGAGUGAUGAAGGUCUUCGGAUCGUAAAACUCUGUUAUUAGGGAAGAACAAAUGUGUAAGUAACUAUGCACGUCUUGACGGUACCUAAUCAGAAAGCCACGGCUAACUACGUG
rnacentral:rRNA from 1 species